rnacentral:rRNA from 1 species
GCUAAACGCGAAGAACCUUACCAAGGUUUGACAUACACCGGAAACGCCCAGAGAUGGGUGCCUCCUUUUGGACUGGUGUACAGGUGGUGCAUGGCUGUCGUCAGCUCGUGUCGUGAGAUGUUGGGUUAAGUCCCGCAACGAGCGCAACCCUUGUUCCAUGUUGCCAGCACGCCCGUUUGGGUGGUGGGGACUCAUGGGAGACUGCCGGGGGUCAACUCGGAGGAAGGUGGGGAUGACGUCAAGUCAUCAUGCCCCUUAUGUCUUGGGCUGCAAACAUGCUACAAUGGUCGGUACAGAGGGUUGCGAUACCGUGAGGUGGAGCGAAUCCCUAAAAGCCGGUCUCAGUUCGGAUUGGAGUCUGCAACUCGACCCCAUGAAGUCGGAGUCGCUAGUAAUCGCAGAUCAGCAACGCUGCGGUGAAUACGUUCCCGGGUCUUGUACACACCG